rnacentral:rRNA from 1 species
AUUGAACGCUGGCGGCAGGCUUAACACAUGCAAGUCGAGCGGGGUGAUGGUGCUUGCACUAUCACUUAGCGGCGGACGGGUGAGUAAUGCUUAGGAAUCUGCCUAUUAGUGGGGGACAACAUCUCGAAAGGGAUGCUAAUACCGCACACGUCCUACGGGAGAAAGCAGGGGAUCACUUGUGACCUUGCGCUAAUAGAUGAGCCUAAGUCGGAUUAGCUAGUUGGUGGGGUAAAGGCCUACCAAGGCGACGAUCUGUAGCGGGUCUGAGAGGAUGAUCCGCCACACUGGGACUGAGACACGGCCCAGACUCCUACGGGAGGCAGCAGUGGGGAAUAUUGGACAAUGGGGGGAACCCUGAUCCAGCCAUGCCGCGUGGGUGAAGAAGGCCUUAUGGUUGUAAAGCACUUUAAGCGAGGAGGAGGCUCUUUUGGUUAAUACCCAAGAUGAGUGGACGUUACUCGCAGAAUAAGCACCGGCUAACUCUGUGCCAGCCGCCGCAGUAA